rnacentral:misc_RNA from 1 species
GCUGGAAAAGUUCUGGAUGCUUCAAUUCUUCCUUCUGCUGAGGAUGGUGAAGAUGGUGCAUGGGUUGUGUUAACAGAGAAGGCAGGAAUAUGGGCAAUACCAGAAAAAGCUGUUGUACUUGGUGGAGUUGAACCACCUGAGAGAAGCUUGUCACGUAAAGGGAGCUCAAAUGAAGGAUCUGCAGAAGAAGAGAGAAGAACCAUCACAUUUGCAAGCAACAUUGCUCCUAGAAGAGCUAGUUCUGAAGCAUUGGACGCUGGUGGUAGACAAAGGGCUGUUAUGACUGGAAUUGCUCAUCGAUCUGCCGGUGAUGAAGAAUCAGAAGCUUUACUUGGCCAGCUUUUCCAUAAUUUUCUGUUAACUGGGAAGGUUGAUUCCUCUUUCCAAAAGCUUCA